ACCAUAGACGGUGAUAGUCCGGUAUUCGAAGCUAAAUGAAGCGUAGUGGUAUCCUGAGUAGCGCGGGACACGAGGAAUCUUGCGUGAAUCUGCCGGGACCAUCCGGUAAGGCUAAAUACUCCCGAGAGACCGAUAGCGAACCAGUACUGUGAAGGAAAGGUGAAAAGCACUUCGAAUAGAAGAGUGAAAUAGUCCCUGAAACCGUGCGCCUACAAGCGGUCGGAGCUGUGUAAACAGUGACGGCGUGCCUUUUGCAUAAUGAACCUACGAGUUACUUUUUCCGGCAAGGUUAAGGAUCUUGAGAUCCGCAGCCGAAGCGAAAGCGAGUCUUAACAGGGCGAUUAGUCGGAAGGAGUAGACGCGAAACCAAGUGAUCUACCCUUGGUCAGGUUGAAGGUUAGGUAACACUAACUGGAGGACCGAACCGAUAAGCGUUGAAAAGCUUCCGGAUGAACUGAGGGUGGGGGUGAAAGGCUAAUCAAACUUGGAGAUAGCUCGUACUCCCCGAAAUGCAUUUAGGUGCAGCCUUGGGAAUUACUACUGUGAGGUAGAGCGACUGAUAAGAUGCGAGGGCUUCACCGCCUAUCAAGUCUUGAUAAACUCCGAAUGCGCAGUAGUUCGAUCCCAGGAGUGAGGGCAUGGGUGCUAAGGUCCAUGUCCUAAAGGAGAAGAAUCCGGACCAUCAGCUAAGGUCCCGAAAUAAUUGCUAAGUUGAACUAACGAAGUCAGAUUGCUAAGACAGCUAGGAUGUUGGCUUGGAAGCAGCCAUUCAUUUAAAGAGUGCGUAACAGCUCACUAGUCGAGGAGUUUGGCGUGGAUAAUAAUCGGGCAUCAAGCAAUUUACCGAAGCUAUGGGAU
rnacentral:rRNA from 1 species